rnacentral:rRNA from 1 species
UACGUAGGGGGCAAGCGUUGUCCGGAUUUAUUGGGCGUAAAGAGCGUGUAGGCGGCCAUACAGGUCCGUUGUGAAAACUGGAGGCUUAACCUCCAGACGUCGAUGGAAACCGUAUGGCUAGAGUCCGGAAGAGGAGAGUGGAAUUCCUGGUGUAGCGGUGAAAUGCGCAGAUAUCAGGAAGAACACCCGUGGCGAAGGCGGCUCUCUGGGACGUUACUGACGCUGAGACGCGAAAGCGUGGGGAGCGAACAGG